GCCCAGGCCGUGGUAACGGUGGUGCUGCCCUCCGGCCAGCCGGCUCGUGACCCCAGGCAAGUUACUCCACAGUCGUGCCCCAGCUACCCGUCCAUACAGCAGGGGCAGCAGUACUUACUCUAGUCAGUGGGGAGGAACAACC